UCCUGGUGGCUCAGGUGGUAAAGUGCCUGCCUGCAAAGUGGGAGACCCGGGUUCGAUUCCUGGGUCGGGAA
rfam:Ovis aries breed Texel chromosome 18, whole genome shotgun sequence.